rnacentral:rRNA from 1 species
GACAGAGGGUGCAAACGUUGCUCGGAAUCACUGGGCGUAAAGGGCGUGUAGGCGGGAAGGAAAGUCGGGCGUGAAAUCCCUGGGCUCAACCCAGGGAACUGCACUCGAAACUUCUUUUCUUGAGUGCCGGAGAGGAAAGCGGAAUACCUGGUGUAGAGGUGAAAUUCGUAGAUAUCGAGGUGGAACACCAGUGGCGGAAGGCGGCUU